rnacentral:sRNA from 1 species
CCGACGUUUGUGUGCUGAGCUCCCCUUCCCUGAGGCCCCGACGUGUCUGCUGCUCUCCUCAGCUCCUGGGGCUCCUGGGGCUGAGGGGCUGCAUCUGUCUCAGCCUGGCCGUGACCCACUCAGCCGUGCUUCCCCUCUUUCAGCCGGUGGCUGCUGGCAGCGGAAUCCCCCAGAUCAAGUGCUUCCUCAACGGGGUGAAGAUCCCCCACGUGGUGCGGCUCAAGACGUUGGUGAUCAAAGUGUCCGGUGUGAUCCUGUCCGUGGUCGGGGGCCUGGCUGUGGGAAAGGUAACAAAGUGCACAUGGCCACUCCAGCUGGAGCCUGAGGCCGCCGGGCCCGCGAGGGCCGCCACGCCCAUGUGUGUCUCUGAGCACCGGUCCUUCUGGUCUCCAGGAAGGGCCGCGUCACGCGUGUCUCUGAGCACCGGUCCUUCUGGUCUCCAGGAAGGGCCG